AUUGAACGCUAGCGGCAGGCCUAACACAUGCAAGUCGAACGAGCGGCGGACGGGUGAGAAUUGUAUGUGGAAUGCCCCAUAGAGGGGGAUAUCUCCUGGAAACGGUGUCUAAUAUCACAUACCAUCGGAGAACCCAUAUGGGAUUAGCUAGUAGGUGAGGUAAUGGCUCCCCAAGGCGACGAUCCCUAGCUGGUCUGAGAGGAUGAUCAGCAACACUGGGACUGUGAAACGGCCCAGACUCCUACGGAGGCAGGAGUGGGGAAGAGUGCACAAGGGGAGAAAGCCUGAUGCAGCCAUGCAGCGUGUAUGAAGAAGGCCCUAGGGUUGUAAAGUACUUUAAGUCGGGAGGCGUUACCGACAGAAGAAGCACCGGCUAACUCCGGGCCAGCAGCCGCGGUAAUAC
rnacentral:rRNA from 1 species